UUUGGUUAAGUUAGAAAGGGCGCACGGUGGAUGCCUUGACACUAGGAGUCGAUGAAGGACGGGACUAACGCCGAUAUUGCUUCGGGGAGCUGUAAGUAAGCUUUGAUCCGAAGAUUUCCGAAUGGGGAAACCCACCAUACGUAAUGGUAUGGUAUCCUUAUCUGAAUACAUAGGGUAAGGAAGACAGACCCAGGGAACUGAAACAUCUAAGUACCUGGAGGAAGAGAAAGCAAAUGCGAUUUCCUGAGUAGCGGCGAGCGAAACGGAACAUAGCCCAAACCAAGAGGCUUGCCUCUUGGGGUUGUAGGACAUUCUAUACGGAGUUACAAAGGAACGAGGUAGACGAAGCGACCUGGAAAGGUCCGUCGUAGAGGGUAACAACCCCGUAGUCGAAACUUCGUUCUCUCUUGAAUGUAUCCUGAGUACGGCGGAACACGUGAAAUUCCGUCGGAAUCUGGGAGGACCAUCUCCCAAGGCUAAAUACUCCCUAGUGAUCGAUAGUGAACCAGUACCGUGAGGGAAAGGUGAAAAGCACCCCGGAAGGGGAGUGAAAGAGAUCCUGAAACCGUGUGCCUACAAAUAGUCAGAGCCCGUUAACGGGUGAUGGCGUGCCUUUUGUAGAAUGAACCGGCGAGUUACGAUCCCGUGCGAGGUUAAGCUGAAGAGGCGGAGCCGCAGCGAAAGCGAGUCUGAAUAGGGCGUUUAGUACGUGGUCGUAGACCCGAAACCAGGUGAUCUACCCAUGUCCAGGGUGAAGUUCAGGUAACACUGAAUGGAGGCCCGAACCCACGCACGUUGAAAAGUGCGGGGAUGAGGUGUGGGUAGCGGAGAAAUUCCAAUCGAACCUGGAGAUAGCUGGUUCUCCCCGAAAUAGCUUUAGGGCUAGCCUUAAGUGUAAGAGUCUUGGAGGUAGAGCACUGAUUGGACUAGGGGUCCUCAUUGGAUUACCGAAUUCAGUCAAACUCCGAAUGCCAAUGACUUAUCCUUAGGAGUCAGACUGCGAGUGAUAAGAUCCGUAGUCAAAAGGGAAACAGCCCAGACCGCCAGCUAAGGUCCCAAAGUGUGUAUUAAGUGGAAAAGGAUGUGGAGUUGCUUAGACAACUAGGAUGUUGGCUUAGAAGCAGCCACCAUUUAAAGAGUGCGUAAUAGCUCACUAGUCGAGUGACUCUGCGCCGAAAAUGUACCGGGGCUAAAUACACCACCGAAGCUGCGGAUUGAUACCAAUGGUAUCAGUGGUAGGGGAGCGUUCUAAGGACAGUGAAGUCAGACCGGAAGGACUGGUGGAGUGCUUAGAAGUGAGAAUGCCGGUAUGAGUAGCGAAAGACGGGUGAGAAUCCCGUCCACCGAAUGCCUAAGGUUUCCUGAGGAAGGCUCGUCCGCUCAGGGUUAGUCAGGACCUAAGCCGAGGCCGACAGGCGUAGGCGAUGGACAACAGGUUGAUAUUCCUGUACCACCUCUUUAUCGUUUGAGCAAUGGAGGGACGCAGAAGGAUAGAAGAAGCGUGCGAUUGGUUGUGCACGUCCAAGCAGUUAGGCUGAUAAGUAGGCAAAUCCGCUUAUCGUGAAGGCUGAGUUGUGAUGGGGAAGCUCCUUAUGGAGCGAAGUCUUUGAUUCCCCGCUGCCAAGAAAAGCUUCUAGCGAGAUAAAAGGUGCCUGUACCGCAAACCGACACAGGUAGGCGAGGAGAGAAUCCUAAGGUGUGCGAGAGAACUCUGGUUAAGGAACUCGGCAAAAUGACCCCGUAACUUCGGGAGAAGGGGUGCUUUCUUAACGGAAAGCCGCAGUGAAUAGGCCCAAGCGACUGUUUAGCAAAAACACAGCUCUCUGCGAAGCCGUAAGGCGAAGUAUAGGGGGUGACACCUGCCCGGUGCUGGAAGGUUAAGGAGAGGGGUUAGCGUAAGCGAAGCUCUGAACUGAAGCCCCAGUAAACGGCGGCCGUAACUAUAACGGUCCUAAGGUAGCGAAAUUCCUUGUCGGGUAAGUUCCGACCCGCACGAAAGGUGUAACGAUUUGGGCACUGUCUCAACCAGAGACUCGGUGAAAUUAUAGUACCUGUGAAGAUGCAGGUUACCCGCGACAGGACGGAAAGACCCCGUGGAGCUUUACUGUAGCCUGAUAUUGAAUUUUGGUACAGUUUGUACAGGAUAGGCGGGAGCCAUUGAAACCGGAGCGCUAGCUUCGGUGGAGGCGCUGGUGGGAUACCGCCCUGACUGUAUUGAAAUUCUAACCUACGGGUCUUAUCGACCCGGGAGACAGUGUCAGGUGGGCAGUUUGACUGGGGCGGUCGCCUCCUAAAGUGUAACGGAGGCGCCCAAAGGUUCCCUCAGAAUGGUUGGAAAUCAUUCGUAGAGUGCAAAGGCAUAAGGGAGCUUGACUGCGAGACCUACAAGUCGAGCAGGGACGAAAGUCGGGCUUAGUGAUCCGGUGGUUCCGCAUGGAAGGGCCAUCGCUCAACGGAUAAAAGCUACCCCGGGGAUAACAGGCUUAUCUCCCCCAAGAGUCCACAUCGACGGGGAGGUUUGGCACCUCGAUGUCGGCUCAUCGCAUCCUGGGGCUGUAGUCGGUCCCAAGGGUUGGGCUGUUCGCCCAUUAAAGCGGUACGCGAGCUGGGUUCAGAACGUCGUGAGACAGUUCGGUCCCUAUCCGUCGUGGGCGUAGGAAAUUUGAGAGGAGCUGUCCUUAGUACGAGAGGACCGGGAUGGACGCACCGCUGGUGUACCAGUUGUUCUGCCAAGGGCAUAGCUGGGUAGCUAUGUGCGGAAGGGAUAAGUGCUGAAAGCAUCUAAGCAUGAAGCCCCCCUCAAGAUGAGAUUUCCCAUAGCGUAAGCUAGUAAGAUCCCUGAAAGAUGAUCAGGUUGAUAGGUUCGAGGUGGAAGCAUGGUGACAUGUGGAGCUGACGAAUACUAAUAGAUCGAGGACUUAACCAUAUAA
rnacentral:rRNA from 1 species